CCUACGGGAGGCAGCAGUGGGGGAUAUUGCACAAUGGGGGGAACCCUGAUGCAGCGACGCCGCGUGGGUGAAGGAGUGCUUCGGCAUGUAAAGCCCUAUCGGCAGGGAAGAAGCAAGACGGUACCUGACUAAGAAGCCCCGGCUAACUACGUGCCAGCAGCCGCGGUAAUACGUAGGGGGCGAGCGUUAUCCGGAUUCACUGGGUGUAAAGGGAGCGUAGACGGCCAUGCAAGCCAGGGGUGAAAGCCCGGGGCCCAACCCCAGGACUGCCCUUGGAACUGUGCGGCUAGAGUGCGGGAGGGGCAGGCGGAAUUCCUGGUGUAGCGGUGAAAUGCGUAGAUAUCAGGAGGAACACCGGCGGCGAAGGCGGCCUGCUGGACUGCGACUGACGUUGAGGCUCGAAAGCGUGGGGAGCGAACAGGAUUAGAUACCCCUGUAGUC
rnacentral:rRNA from 1 species